CCUACGGGAGGCAGCAGUGAGGAAUAUUGGUCAAUGGCCGGAAGGCUGAACCAGCCAUGCCGCGUGCAGGUCAGUGCCCUAUGGGCGUUAAACUUCUUUUGUGCGGGAGCAAUAAUGGUCACGUGUGGCCAGACGAGAGAACCGUACGAAUAAGCAUCGGCUAACUACGUGCCAGCAGCCGCGGUAAUACGGGGGAUGCAAGCGUUGUCCGGAUUUAUUGGGUUUAAAGGGUGCGUAGGCUGUGAGGUAAGUCAGCGGUGAAAUGCCCCCGCGCAACGGGGUGAAGUGCCAUUGAUACUGCCUGGCUGGAAUGCGGAUGCCGUGGGAGGAAUGUGUGGUGUAGCGGUGAAAUGCAUAGAUAUCACACAGAACACCGAUUGCGAAGGCAUCUCACGAAUCCGCGAUUGACGCUGAUGCACGAAAGCGUGGGUAUCAAACAGGAUUAGAUACCCCUGUAGUC
rnacentral:rRNA from 1 species